rnacentral:rRNA from 1 species
GACAGCGGGUGCAAACGUUGUUCGGAAUUACUGGGCGUAAAGCGAGUGUAGGCGGUUUCCUAAGUCGGAUGUGAAAGCCCCGGGCUCAACCCGGGAAGUGCACUCGAAACUGGGAGGCUAGAGUAUCGGAGAGGUUGGUGGAAUUCUCGGUGUAGAGGUGAAAUUCGUAGAUAUCGAGAGGAACACCGGUGGCGAAGGCGGCCAACUGGACGAAUACUGACGCUGAGACUCGAAAGCGUGGGGAGCAAACAGG